rnacentral:rRNA from 1 species
ACCCACAAACAGAAUUUUAGUUCAACUUUAAAUUUACCUAAAAAAAAUAAAAUUUUAAUGUAAAUUUAAAAUAUAGUCUAAGAAGGUACAGCUUCUUAGAAUCAGGAUACAACCUUUAUUAGAGAGUAUAUACUAAUAUCACCAUAGUUGGCUUAAAAGCAGCCACCAAUUGAGAAAGCGUUCCAGCUCAACAAACAAUAUAACUUAAUCCCAACCAUACUACAUCAACUCCUAAUUAUACCCCCUGGGUCAUUCUAUUUAAGUAUAGAAGCAAUAAUGCUAGUAUGAGUAACAAGAACCAUUUUCUCCUCGCAUAAGCUUAUAUCAGGAACGGAUAGACCACUGAUAGUUAACAAUCUGAUAAUAUCAACCCAAAAAUGAAAUACUUAUCCACCCCAUUGUUAACCCAACACAGGUAUGCAUUCAAGGAAAGAUUAAAAGGAGUAAAAGGAACUCGGCAAACACAAACCCCGCCUGUUUACCAAAAACAUCACCUCCAGCAUUUCUAGUAUUGGAGGCACUGCCUGCCCGGUGACACUUGUUUAACGGCCGCGGUAUCCUGACCGUGCAAAGGUAGCAUAAUCAUUUGUUCUCUAAAUAGGGACUUGUAUGAAUGGCCACACGAGGGUUUAACUGUCUCUUACUCCCAAUCAGUGAAAUUGACCUUCCCGUGAAGAGGCGGGAAUACCACAAUAAGACGAGAAGACCCUAUGGAGCUUUAAUUAACUAACCCAAACUUAUGGAUACUAGAUACCUACAAGGCAUAACAUAACACCAUUAUUAUGGGUUAGCAAUUUAGGUUGGGGUGACCUCGGAAUAUAAAAAAACUCCCGAGUGAUUAAAAUUUAGACCCACAAGUCAAAAUACAACAUCACUUAUUGAUCCAAUAAUUUUUGAUCAACGGAACAAGUUACCCUAGGGAUAACAGCGCAAUCCUAUUCAAGAGUCCAUAUCGACAAUAGGGUUUACGACCUCGAUGUUGGAUCAGGACAUCCUAAUGGUGCAGCAGCUAUUAAGGGUUCGUUUGUUCAACGAUUAAAG